rnacentral:rRNA from 1 species
ACAUGCAAGUCGAGCGGUAGAGAGAAGCUUGCUUCUCUUGAGAGCGGCGGACGGGUGAGUAAUGCCUAGGAAUCUGCCUGGUAGUGGGGGAUAACGUUCGGAAACGGACGCUAAUACCGCAUACGUCCUACGGGAGAAAGCAGGGGACCUUCGGGCCUUGCGCUAUCAGAUGAGCCUAGGUCGGAUUAGCUAGUUGGUGGGGUAAUGGCUCACCAAGGCGACGAUCCGAACUGGUCUGAGAGGAUGAUCAGUCACACUGGAACUGAGACACGGUCCAGACUCCUACGGGAGGCAGCAGUGGGGAAUAUUGGACAAUGGGCGAAAGCCUGAUCCAGCCAUGCCGCGUGUGUGAAGAAGGUCUUCGGAUUGUAAAGCACUUUAAGUUGGGAGGAAGGGCCAUUACCUAAUACGUGAUGGUUUUGACGUUACCGACAGAAUAAGCACCGGCUAACUCUGUGCCAGCAGCCGCGGUAAUACAGAGGGGCAAGCGUUAAUCGGAAUUACUGGGCGUAAAGCGCGCGUAGGUGGUUUGUUAAGUUGGAUGUGAAAUCCCCGGGCUCAACCUGGGAACUGCAUUCAAAACUGACUGACUAGAGUAUGGUAGAGGGUGGUGGAAUUUCCUGUGUAGCGGUGAAAUGCGUAGAUAUAGGAAGGAACACCAGUGGCGAAGGCGACCACCUGGACUGAUACUGACACUGAGGUGCGAAAA